rnacentral:lncRNA from 1 species
AUGGACCCCGAGGGCCAGCAGCAGAUGUGGCAGGCAAUCAGGGCCACCUUUAGACACGCGGAGAGGGGCGCCCUCCUGACGACCCAUUACAUGGCGGAGGCCGAGGCUGUUUGUGAUCGCAUAGCCAUCAUGGUGUCCGGGAGGCUGAGGUGUAUCGGUUCCACCCAACACCUAAAGAGUAAAUUUGGCAAAGACUACCUGCUGGAGAUGAAGGUGAGGACCCUCACGCAGGUGGAGCCCCUCCAUGAAGAGAUCCUGAGGCUCUUCCCCCAGGCUGCUAGGCAGGAAAGGUACUCCUCUCUGAUGGUCUACAAGUUGCCUGUUGAAGAUGUACAACCUUUAUCACAGACUUUCUCCAAAUUAGAGAUCGUUAAACAGAGCUUUGACCUGGAGGAGUACAGCCUCUCGCAGUCCACCCUGGAGCAGGUGGGUCCAUCUCAGUGAUCUUCUGUCACCCAUGAAAUCCAAGUGCCCACAAAGGCUACCUUGUGCACAUGGUUGAUGCCAUAGAAGGCAGCCUGACAUCCCUCUCCUUUAUGUUUUUUCUUCCAUUACAGCUUUUCCUGGAGCUCUCCAAAGAGCAGGAACUGUAUGACUUUGAAGAGGAACUGGAUCCCUCUGUGAAGUGGAAGCUCCUCCCACAGGAGGAGCCCUAAAGCUUCAUGCUCUGCUUCUCUUAAAGCUCAUGACACUUUUUACGACAAUGUUCUAUGGCACUACUAGGCCUUAUCUCAGAUAUGGCACAAAUUACUUUUGAAACUCAUGUGCUAAUUUUUUUCAAUAAUAUAGUGGGGCUGGUGGAUAAAGUUAGGGCACUGAAGCCUGAGAUUAGACCAUGCCACCCAGCCACAUCCCAUUUUAUAGGGUUAUUUAAACCAGCAUUCAUGAUAUAUUUGUUUAUGUGUCUGAGGAUGAUACAAAGACCACUUACUUUUCUUUCCAUGAACUUAAAAUAUUGAAUAUUUUCUUAUCUUUUUUGUUAAGUGUACAAUCAGACAUAAUACUGACAUUAAGGGAAAGAGAUUACCUAAUGGCACAGAUUUUGCUUUUUGUAAUUUUCAUUUUUUUAAGCAGUUCUUAGUUCUCUGAUUCUUUUUUUAAAUCAUUUUCAGAUUUUAGCUUGUAGAAUAUUGUUUUUUCUAUUGUGACUAUGAAAGGAAUUUGAAAUCUGUUAAGAUACAUGUUUGCAAUAUAAAUUUGAAUGUUCCAAGUUAAUGGGACAUAUUAUGAUGUAUUGUUACGUGCAAACUUGAAACCUUCCAUAUAUAUAUAUAUAUGAGAUGAAAGGUUGUACUUUUCUGUUACAGACUAAAACUUCAUUAUUUCAUUGGUCUUAAUUUACCAUACCUAUAUAUAGUAUGACCUAUACCACUAACCCUAAGCCUAACCAUGUAAUACCUUAAAAUGUGUUACACCUGACCAUGUAACACCUUGAAAUCAAUACAAUAAAUUGUACAUUUAAUGUAGUACCAUUUCUGUUUUAUUACCACUAUUACUGUUUCUAGCUAUCUGAACAUUCAAAGGCAGUUAUAUGGAAAACCUGUACUUUUAUUCUAGUGUUUCUUGAAUCUUUCUAGUUCAUGAAAACCACACUGGCAUCACUCCACUCACAGGAGAGCUUGAGCAAAGGGCCCCAGCUUUCUUAUUUCAAAAGGGGGACUUACCACCUGUUGAAAACUACAG